GCAGAUGACACUUACCAAAAGCAGAUCAGAACAUGAGAAGGCCUUUUGCUCUUGGAGGUUCUGUUUUUAUAGAGUGAGAUGUAGAUGCAUUUAACGCUCAUAUCCUCUAGUCAGGAUGAGUUAAAUUUUUUCAGGAGAUCUUAGCCUUGGUCACUGCAUUUCUCAGCAAACAGCAUAAUACCUGCAUCUUCUCUUUAAACUGGAGUUGACCUUCCAGCUUCAGCUAGAGCAGUGUUGAGAGGCAUUGGACAGCUGCUAUAUUGCAAAUCAAAGCUGGCUGCCCUUUUCAAUAGGCUUGGCAGUGUAGCCUAGUGCUUUCAGAGAGAGAGUUCAAAGGAUAGCCUUUAGAGUAGCAUAAGAAAUGGUCAGCAAGGAUCAUCUUAUCAUUAAUUGUUGUUUUCUUUUUUUUUUUCCAGAUGCCUUUUCUGAUGACUGGAAAAAAGAAUUUUGGAAACUACCAUAUUCCUUGCUUUGUUGCUUCUAUCUUCCAAAUUCUGCUGCUGCUGAGACAGAUCUCUGCUCUAACAUGGCCAGUCCUAACUCUGGAAAGGCCUACCUUGGACCUUGUGGGCCAUGCAUGACUUUUGAGGACUGGAUCUGAAAGUCUUCCCCAGGAACAUGUUUUUGUAGAACAUCUGUUUUAAAAAUACAAGGUAUGUGCAAACCAAAGUAAGGCCAAGGUCAUCUGAAGUUUAUCACUACUCUACCCAAGUGCUGCCUGUAGUCAUUUUGCUAGCUUUAGUUUCAUCUGGUCCGUGCAUAGUGAAAAUUCUGCUCAUAAAGCAGUCACAAAAAUUGUUAUGGCCCUAAGGAAUGCUCCUUAAAGCAAAUAAGUGCCGUAGUUUCCAGAUUCCAUCCCUAAUUAGAGAGAGAGGUCAAGUGUCAGGUCCAUCAGUGGGCUGUAGUAUUUCAAUUUUCCAUCAGUGAGGGUCAUUCAUUUUAGAAGACAAAGAGGCUGAGAAUUUCUUUGUGACGUUGUUCUGGUUGCCUUUCCACCUCAUGUUGUUCCUCUCCUUUUCGUGAUACUUUAGCUUAUUGUUUAAAAAAACAAAAAGUGUCUCUGGAUAAGACUUUAGUGGACUCUUAAAUCACUGUGUUUUGUUUUUUUUUCUUCUGCUGGUUGGCAAUGUCGUGCCUUCUGUUCCAUUAACCUAGCGCCUGAUUACACCAACUGUCUGAAAUGCAAUUAGAAUGACUGCCUAUGAUCUUAUCUGGCACUAACAUCUCCUUUCAUUUUUUAAUUUCAUUUCAAACACAUGGAACCAUUCGAAAUUCCUUUUUCCACCUUUAUCUAGGUUCCAUUUUCUUAAAUGAAAUCAUCUAGCUUCUCCAAAGGGAAUAGUUUAAUUGUUCAAGAUGCAUGAUUUGUGAUGACCUUACAAUUGUGCAGGACCACAGUCCAUGGUGUUCCAUGCAAGUGAUCAGAAGGGGCCAGGCUUGCCUUUGAAGUGGGGUAGCUUAUUAGAAAAGCGGAAAGUUGCAUCAAACUUUCAUUCCAAUUAACUACAUCCUUUCCACAUAAGCAUGUUCUUUGUGUUGUGGUAUGGUAGGUCGGUUGGUUGUUUUUCUUCUCCUUGAAAUUUACUGCCAAAACUGCUUCA
ensembl:lncRNA